GCCCUCGUGGUGAAAUUGGUAGACACAAAGGACUUAAAAUCCUUGCCCUUUUGGGAGUGCCAGUUCGAGUCUGGCCGAGGGCACCA
rnacentral:tRNA from 14 species